rnacentral:rRNA from 1 species
CCGUAGGGUGACCUGCGGAGGGAUCAUUGCUGG